AAUGAACGUUGGCGGCGUGGAUUAGGCAUGCAAGUCGUGGGAGAACCCGCAAGGGGGACACCGGCGAACGGGGUAGGAUCACCUCGGUGACGUACCCUCAGGACGGGGAUAGCGGCGGGAAACUGCCGGUAAUACCCGAUGACCUGGCGAGACUUUAAGGCUCGUCAGCAAAGGUGUGAUUCCGCCUGAGGACCGGCUGAGGCGCUAUUAGCUAGUUGGUGAGGUCACGGCUCACCAAGGCGACGAUGGCUAGGGGGUGUGAGAGCAUGGCCCCCACCACUGGCACUGAGACACUGGCCAGACACCUACGGGUGGCUGCAGUCGAGAAUCUUCGGCAAUGGACGCAAGUCUGACCGAGCGACGCCGCGUGCGGGAUGAAGGUCUUCGGAUUGUAAACCGCUGUCGGGAGGGAUGAAGUGCCGGAAAGCUAUCUUUCCGGUUUGACAGAGCUCCAGAGGAAGCACGGGCUAAGUUCGUGCCAGCAGCCGCGGUAACAC
rnacentral:rRNA from 1 species